CAAUAGCGUAUAUUAAAGUUGUUGCGGUUAAAAGCUCGUAGUUGGAUUUCUGUACGAGAGCACCGGUCCGCAUUUUGUGCGUGUAUCUGGUAGAACUUGUGCAGUCCUCUUAUUUUCAAAUCUGCGCUUCAUUGCGUGGUUUUGUAGGAUAAGACUUUUACUUUGAGGAAAUUAGAGUGUUCACGGCAGGCAAGCGCCCUGAAUAUGUUAGCAUGGAAUAAUAAUAUAAGACUUCGGUUUUAUUUUGUUGGUUUCUAAAAGCUGAAGUAAUGGAUUAAUAGGAACAGUUGGGGACACUUGUAUUAACUCGCUAGAGGUGGAAUUCUUGGAUUGAGUUACGACAAACUACUGCGAAAGCAUUUGUCAAAGGAAUGGUUUUCAUUGAUC
rnacentral:rRNA from 1 species